GUGCUCACUUCAGCAGCACAUUUACUAAAACUGGAAUGAUACAAAGAAGAUUAGCAUGGUCCCUGCACAAGGAUGACAGGUAAAUUCGUGAAGCAUUACAUAUUUUU